ensembl:snRNA U6 U6 spliceosomal RNA
UUGCUUCAGCAGCACAUAUACUAAAAUGGGAACAAUACAGAGAAGAUUAGCAUGGCCCCUGUGCAAGGAUGAUACGCAAAAUUGUCUAUAAGUAUCUGUUUCU